CUUAUCCAAACAUAUGAAUCGAAAACAAAGAUUCUUUUAUUUUUCUUGUCCGUCCACAUUUCUUCCGAGCAAAGCGUAAAUCGCUCCUCAAAUGCCCACAAAAUAUGGCGCCGUCAUUUAGGCCCCGCGGUUGCCGAGUAGCCGUGAUCGGCGCUGGUGCCGCCGGUCUAGUGGCUGCCCGAGAGCUUCGCAGGGAGGGUCAUCAAGUGGUAGUGUUCGAGAAAGAUGACCAAAUCGGUGGUACCUGGGUGUACACUCCCCAUGUGGAAACUGACCUUCUCGGUCUCGACCCCUUCCGACCCAUUAUUCACUCCAGCCUCUACGAGUCCCUCCGAACCAACUUGCCGAGAGAGUUGAUGGGAUUUAUGGACUUCCCGUUUGUGGCCCGAGGACAGGGUGAAACGAGAGACGCGAGAAGGUUUCCAGGUCACAGAGAAGUCUUGCUGUAUUUGCAAGACUUUGCUAGGAAGUUUAGGAUUGAAGAGUUGAUUAGGUUUCACUCUGAGGUGGUUAGCGUGGAGCUGAUUGAUGAUUUCAAAUGGAAAGUGAAGUCACACAAGAAGAGAGUCGAGGGUGAUGGAGAUAAGUAUGGGCAUGUUGGUUUCCUUGAUGAGAUUUUUGAUGCUGUGGUUGUUUGCAAUGGACAUCACACAGAGCCUCGUAUAGCUGAAAUUCCAGGCGUUAAUUUGUGGCCUGGAAGGCAAAUACACAGCCACAACUAUCGUACUCCAGAACCUUUUAGGGAUCAGAUGGUAAUUAUAAUAGGCAAUGCCUGGAGUGCUGCUGAUUUAUCCACUGAGAUAGCUGGAGUUGCCAAAGAGGUCCACGUUGCAUCCAGAUCAGUUCAAGAUGGUACAUAUGAGAAAAAGCCCGGAUUUGAUAAUAUUUAUCUUCAUUCUAUGAUUGAAAGUUCUCAUGAAGAUGGUUCUGUGGUUUUCCGAGAUGGAAGUACUAUCCUUGCAGACGUGAUUCUACAUUGCACUGGGUACAAGUAUCACUUCCCUUUCCUCAAAACCCAUGGCAUUGUGACUGUGAAUGACAAUCGUGUAGGGCCACUGUACAAGCAUGUUUUCCCCCCUGUUUUGGCCCCAUGGCUUUCAUUUGUUGGGAUACCAUGGAAGAUCGCCCCUUUCCUUACGUUUGAAUUUCAAAGCAAGUGGAUCGCUGGUGUUUUAUCUGGUAGAAUUUUGCUUCCCUCUCAAGAGGAGAUGAUGGAAGAUGUCAAGGAUUUCUACUCAACACUUGAAUCUUCUGGCAUACCUAAGCGAUACACCCAUAACUUGUUUAAUUAUCAGGCUGAAUACAGCAAUUGGCUUGCUGCACAGUGCCAAUGUCCAGGCUUUGAAGAAUGGAGAAACCAAAUGUACUACUUUGCUAUGAAGAACAUUACCGUCCGGCCGAAGACAUAUCGCGACAAAUGGGAAGAUGACCACCUGAUCUUUCAAGCCUAUGAGGACUUCAAGAAAUAUGCCUGAAGUGGAGAUAAUAACAAAAUUUGCAACCCUAAGUGAAGGGAGUCAAACGAAUCCUUGCAUAAUAAGCUUUCUGCACUCAGCAGACUCAUUAGUAAAGGCUGCAAGUUACUAGGAAGUGGCUCUGCAGUACCCACCCUUCAGGUUUCAAAUGAUGAUCUUGCAAAAAUAGUUGAUACAAAUGAUGAAUGGAUAUCAGUUCAAACUGGGAUUCGAAAUCGA